AUUGAACGCUGGCGGCAGGCCUAACACAUGCAAGUCGAACGGUAACAGGAAGAAGCUUGCUUCUUUGCUGACGAGUGGCGGACGGGUGAGUAAUGUCUGGGAAACUGCCUGAUGGAGGGGGAUAACUACUGGAAACGGUAGCUAAUACCGCAUAACGUCGCAAGACCAAAGAGGGGGACCUUCGGGCCUCUUGCCAUCGGAUGUGCCCAGAUGGGAUUAGCUAGUAGGUGGGGUAACGGCUCACCUAGGCGACGACCCCUAGCUGGUCUGAGAGGAUGACCAGCCACACUGGAACUGAGACACGGUCCAGACUCCUACAGGAGGCCGCAGUGGGAAAUAUUGCACAAUGGGCGCAAGCCUGAUGCAGCCAUGCCGCGUGUAUGAAGAAGGCCUUCGGGUUGUAAAGUACUUUCGGCGGGGAGGAAGGGAGUAAAGUUAAUACCUUUGCUCAUUGACGUUACCCGCAGAAGAAGCACCGGCUAACUCCGUG
rnacentral:rRNA from 1 species